AUUUUCAGCAUCUAAAGACUGCAGGACAGAAAAGAGUCUUAACUGGCUCCAAAGGGACCAAAGGAGGUCCAGGUUGUUGGUGCUUUGGUCCGUGGCUUUAAAGAUUCCCUCCAGAUCAGCUUUAAGAGGUGAAGGUAGAAC